AUUGAACGCUGGCGGCAUGCCUUACACAUGCAAGUCGAACGGCAGCACGGGUGCUUGCACCUGGUGGCGAGUGGCGAACGGGUGAGUAAUACAUCGGAACGUACCUUAUCGUGGGGGAUAACGCAGCGAAAGUUGCGCUAAUACCGCAUACGCCCUGAGGGGGAAAGCGGGGGACCGUAAGGCCCCGCGCGAUUAGAGCGGCCGAUGUCUGAUUAGCUUGUUGGUGAGGUAAAAGCUACACAAGGCGAUGAUCAGUAGCUGGUCUGAGAGGACGAUCAGACACACUGGGACUGAGACACGGCCCAGACUCCUACGGGAGGCAGCAGUGGGGAAUUUUGGACAAUGGGGGCAACCCUGAUCCAGCAAUGCCGCGUGAGUGAAGAAGGCCUUCGGGUUGUAAAGCUCUUUUGUCAGGGAAGAAACAGCAGCUCUAACACAGUCUGCGAAUGACGGUACCUGAAGAAUAAGCACCGGCUAACUACGUGCCAGCAGCCGCAGUAA
rnacentral:rRNA from 1 species